CAAUUGUGCAUUUCUCUCGAGAUGUUCUCGAUAUUCCAAUCAUUGGCAGAACAACCAUCGCCAGUAGUAGAGAGCUGGAGAUGGAUUUAGUGGGUUCAUUGCCAUUCUGUAAAGCGAAAUGAGGCAAUUUUGCAUUUCUCUCGAGAUGUUCCGGAUCUUCCAAUUGAUGGCAGAACAGCUGGAAAUGGAUUUACUGGGUUCAGUGCUAUUCUGUAAAGUUGGCCAAUGAAAACUGGAAAAAAUCUGAUGAUGGGACGUGAUCGUUUUGAUAAUGAAUGCAGUUUGCUGUGUUCCUGAAGCGUAUGUUAUCCUGUGAACUUCGGCGUUGUCUUGCACGGCGUAUGAGCGGUACCGAAGCGGCCUACAAUCGAGAGAACAAGUAACACG